CCUACGGGUGGCAGCAGUGAGGAAUAUUGGUCAAUGGACGAGAGUCUGAACCAGCCAAGUAGCGUGAAGGAUGACUGCCCUAUGGGUUGUAAACUUCUUUUAUAUGGGAAUAAAACGUUCCACGUGUGGGAUUUUGUAUGUACCAUAUGAAUAAGGAUCGGCUAACUCCGUGCCAGCAGCCGCGGUAAUACGGAGGAUACGAGCGUUAUCCGGAUUUAUUGGGUUUAAAGGGAGCGUAGGUGGAUUGUUAAGUCAGUUGUGAAAGUUUGCGGCUCAACCGUAAAAUUGCAGUUGAAACUGGCAGUCUUGAGUACAGUAGAGGUGGGCGGAAUUCGUGGUGUAGCGGUGAAAUGCUUAGAUAUCACGAAGAACUCCGAUUGCGAAGGCAGUUCACUGGACUGCAACUGACACUGAGGCUCGAAAGUGUGGGUAUCAAACAGGAUUAGAUACCCUUGUAGUC
rnacentral:rRNA from 1 species